GGCACUUUGGCGGAGUGGUUAACGCGCUGGCCUGCUAUUAUCCAAUCGGAUGUACUCAAGCCAGUUCCUUCGGGAGCGUGUGUUCGAAUCACACAGGUGUCG